UACAGAGGUCCGAGCGUUGUUCGGAUUCACUGGGCGUAAAGGGUGCGUAGGUGGCUUAGUAAAGUUGAUGUGAAAGCUCAGGGCUUAACCCUGAAAUGGCAUUGAAUACUGUCGAGCUGGAGGUUUGGAGGGGGACUGGAAUUCUUGGUGUAGCAGUGAAAUGCGUAGAUAUCAAGAGGAACACCAGUGGCGAAGGCGGCCCACUGGAUCGGUACUGACGCUGAGGUGCGAAAGCGUGGGGAGCAAACAGG
rnacentral:rRNA from 1 species